rnacentral:rRNA from 1 species
CGCGUAGGCGGUUUGAUAAGUCAGAUGUGAAAGCCCACGGCUUAACUGUGGAAGUGCAUUUGAAACUGUCAGACUUGAGUAUCAGAGGGGAAAGUGGAAUUCCCGGUGUGGAGGUGAAAUUCGUAGAUAUCGGGAGGAAUACCGGUGGCGAAGGCGACUUUCUGGCUGAAUACUGACGCUGAGGCGCGAAAGCGUGGGGAGCAAACA